rnacentral:rRNA from 1 species
GACGGAGGGUGCAAGCGUUGUUCGGAAUUACUGGGCGUAAAGCGUGCGUAGACGGUUAUUUAAGUCGGGUGUGAAAGCCCCGGGCUCAACCUGGGAAUUGCAUUCGAGACUGAAUAGCUAGGGUACGGUAGAGGGAAGUGGAAUUUCCGGUGUAGCGGUGAAAUGCGUAGAUAUCGGAAGGAACAUCAGUGGCGAAAGCGACUUCCUGGACCAGUACCGACGCUCAUGUGCGAAAGCGUGGGGAGCAAACAGG